AAGUAUGAACAAAACGAAAAGGAAAGAGAAAAUUAAACAGAAAGAAAAAGAAAAAAGAAAAUGAGAGAAAAAACCGCUUUUGUUAUACCCGCAGUACAUGAGCCUCCACUUUUGUUAAAAAUAAUGGGUGUAGAACAAUAUGCAGUUCGGAUUAUUUACGUAUAGUAUAAGAAAACGGGGAUGAAGAGAAGUGGGAGAAAAUUUAAGUGUAAAAUACUGAAUACUGGGUUUACAAAACGAUAGGUAUUAAAAGCAUUGGUGGUGAGGAAAAAAAAAAAGGAUGAUGGGGGAAAAUUAAUAAGAAUAUGGGAAAAAGUAUUUAUUUCAGACAUUUAUUAUUUACAGCCCAACACACUGUCUCAUCUCUGUAGCCGCAGUGACCACCUCAAAUCUGAGGAUUAUUAGCACUGUUAUGUAUUCAUUUGUUUAUCAAUCCUUGGACGAGAAUCCAAGAAAUCACCAACUUCGGAGGCAUUUUGAUCAUCUUGGAUGAUCUGUGCAGAUGCACAGUGGAAAGAAGGUCCAGUUUUUAGCGGUGAUUCCGAUACUAGGCCGGUAUUAGGUAAGCGAGAUGACUGAGAAGGAGCGGGACCUGUAUUUAUUGCUCCUAUUCCACCCGUCAUGUUCAAGUGUCAAGUGUCUGAGAUCUGAGGGGACACGUAGCUGUCCUCAUGCUGCUCGCGGACCCCGACAGAGGCGCAGGCAGGACGGGGGAAGGGUGCGAUGCCACCCCUCCAGCCCCAGGGUUUAUACAAAAGAGACCGCUGUGAUUCGCGGGGUCGUCGUGCAGUAACGCGGGGUGAGGAGGGGGAGGGAUGCUGCGAGGCUGACCCACGGCAUCCUGCCGCGGGGGUGCUCUGGGGGCGGAGACGGCGGCUACCCCCGGUCCCGUCGGGACUGCAGCGAGGCGCGGGGUAAACCACCGUAGGGUGUGGGGAACUAUGCGUGAUGCGCUGCGGUGGCGGAAAGACUGACAGACCCACUUUCGCCUGCCGCCCGGGACUUAAUACAGCUCUGCAAAAGAGAGAGAGCUGCACGUUCGCUCAUUAAAAGAAGGAGGUGGACGGGGGAAGUGUUGUGUCAGCGGGCACGGAGUCUCCGGCACCCGCUAUUGGUAUUGCUGUUAUAUGUGAUAAAGUAAGAGCUAAUCUGAUGGAUGACCAUGUUGAUUUCCGUUUUGGGAGAGUUUUUUGGGAGUGUUUUUUACACGUUUUACUUGUAGGCACAUGACUACUUUUUACUGGGUGACAUAUCAGCAUAGGGCUUGUAAAAUUGGAACGAGAAGUAGCGUUGGAAAUAACAUAAGAAACGACAAAGAAUUAAAAUAUACUUCUGGUGAAACGGGCACAGCAUAAGACACACUUCACUCUUUAUUUUUUAAAAAAUACAUGCACAGCAGUCUUUGGAGAGGGCUAACUUUUACCUGAUACGUCCAUUCAGGUAAACUGAAAUGUGCUGAAAUGUGUUUGUCAUAUAAUUCAAGGCCUAUAGAUUUUCGGAUAAAGCAAGUGUAAGUAUACAAGCAGUAUUUUUUUUAAAAUCUAACUACUUUCCUGUUAAUUGAACUAUGAACUGGAUUCAAAUAUGCACAUUUUAAAAACUAUAUGUCACACAUUUAUUAGUGCAGCACCUAAUACAGAAAUUACAAAUUGUCUUCCUUGGAGAAGGCUGUCCCUACCUGCCUCUGAGCAUUUUAAGAAAAUAUUUUUAAAUAAACGAUUCCUGAAAUAAAGGAUUAUAAAAGUGCACUUAGAGACCAUAAAACAGCAACGAAAUUUCUUAAAUCCAUUUAAACUGCCCCCACUACAUCCCUUAUUUAUAUUGCCUUAUACCUUAAAAUGGGGUAGAAGGGGAGGGGUGUGUUGGUGAUUUCUAAAAUAUGCUUUUCUUAAUAUGAAAUUAAUUAGAUAAUCAAACAUUUAGACAAAUCAAUUCAGUCUCCCACUGGAAGUUAUCCGUGUAAUAACUGAGCAGGGUAAUAAGACCCUCCUGCAUUUUUAAUGUCUGAUAAACUUCCUGUGCACCUUGCUUUGUAGAACUAACACCGUACACAAUCUGUGAUCUUAUGCAGAAUAGAAGCGUGGAGGAAACAGGAUAUAAAGACACAUACACUGCAGAGUAUCACCAAAACACGGGGAAAUGGCGGGGUGCGGGGGACGGGGAAGGGCAAGUACAUUUAAACAGAUAGAAAGGAGGGAGUAAAGGAAAAGUGAUAGGCUGUAACUUUCAGUAAAUUAAAAACAAUGCAAAUAUACCUUACAUAUACAUCAGUAUUAAAAGUAACACUUGCUGGAGCCAACAGGAGGAGGAGAAGAGAAUGGUGCAACGGUGAAUCCCGGCUCACACACCGCGGCCGCCCCCGACAAGACGGACUCCUCCACACAACGCACACCGAACCCGUUCGUUCAUUUCGGAAUUGUUUGUUUUACUGAUAAUGAUGACGAUAUUUGAAAGAAAAGGGGAGGGUCCACUAAUUCCUGGAUUAGGAUCUUAAUUAGGAUCUUCUGCAAAUAGGGUCGAUCGCUCCCAGAAUCCGCGGUCGCUUUGAACAGGGGGGUUUGCGUAUAUUUUUUCUUCUCCUCCUUUCUUCCUUCUUUUUUUCAUGUCCUGCUUUUCUUAAUGCAUGUAAGUGUAGACGGACAUCCAGAAUGCCUUCAACUGACGUCAACAGACGCGACCACUCCACUAAGCCUUGAACGUGAAGCGGGGAUGGGGGAACUCGGGGCCAGGGGGCAGCCGUGAAGAUGCUCCGCGCUGUUCCGCGGGCACGCAGGCUCCCGCCUGCACUCUACCCCAUGAAAUAAACUCUAGCAGCAGGAGCAACGCUGCCCAGCCUAUCAUUUGUCCCCAAAGAUAGAUAGAUAGAUAAAUGGAUGGAUAGAUAGAUAGAUAGAUAGAUAGAUAGAUAGAUAGAUAGAUAGAUAGAUAGAUAGAUAGAUAGAUAGAUAGUAGUAGUGGUGGUGGUAUUUAGACGUUAUUUGCUGCUUCUUUUAAUCAAAAAAUGGAAACUUCCAACCAAUUUUAAAAGAUAAUGAAAGAAUUCCCCCUCCCUACUCAAAGCGUUGCACGACAGAGGAGCUUUGAGCCGGUGAGGGCGCAGCGUUCAUCCGGGCGCUGCUCUGUAGUGCGUCGCUGGUAUGGUGUUCGGAGACAGGAAGUGAGGGGAAGGUAGGCGGGAGGUCGGAGGAGUAGGGUGGCUCUGAUUUCGGGUCGCAACCAUCGCCGAUCUGAUCUGCAAGUCCAAGCCACUCUCACGGUUUUGCCCUCUCCCUCCACCGGGAGGAGAUGAGGUGUAAGCGGAAAUUCGGUGGCCUACAGAGUAGCGGAGACCGUUUUGUCCUCCUCUUUACCUUCAUCCACUCCUUUGGGAGACUUUGCAGUCCGUCGUGGUGUUUGGGAGAACUUUCACUUCCUGGGGAACUUCAGACGUGGAGGCGGCAGAAUGAGAUGCAGCCGUGGCUUAGAAAAGAGGGGUGUUCUCUGUUAGGACCGGAGUUUCUCUCCUUUUCUGCUGACAUUAUUUACGCUUUUGUCAGCCUUCUGUGAGCUGUUCCAGAGCAUCUCUGUGGACCUUGACACAAACGUUCCUAGGGCUGCACAACACAUACUCUCACGCACUGUUUCUCCCUUCAAGCCUCUAAACUAAACUUCAAUGUCCUCUUAAGAAAGCGAAAACGUGAGUGUGUUUCUGACCGGGCAAGCGGUGUCGACUCUUAUAAUAUUUUUUUUUUUUCCGUGCUAUCGGGCACUACUGGUGAAUUCCUUCGGGGCUGGUGUUUGGAUCCUCACGGAGCUCUCUUUGUCCGCCCGGCCUCCGAGGGCUGUGCCGUCAGGGAACGUCCGGUUGUUCGGGGCCGCUGCGGGGCUCUCCCCGCGGAAACAUUCCGCAGAAGUCGGCGACUGGGAACGGUAGAGCGCCUUUGCUCUCCCUUGAGCCAAGCUCCAGGAUGACACGCGCCCGCUAUCAUAUCUAUAAAUAUUUAUAUGGGUGGAUGCAUACAUAUGCAUACACAUACCUGUAGGGACAUCUGUAGGGUUGAUAUACAUGUUUUUAAUCGGAGAGACGGAUGAGGGGAGACGGAAGGACAGAAGGAACCGGCAGCGCUUUAGUACACCCUCUUCCCAGUGACCAGAGGUCAUGCUACAAGUUCGCCUGACAGCAUAGAUCGAGAGAAUGGAAGAUUUUUGACUAUUUUAGAGUGGUUGGAGCAAGAGUAACACCGUGGAGACCUAAGGGGCACUUUUCAAUAGAGAUGGUGAGGGGAAACACGUGAAUUUCUGGAGACCUGAAAAAGCUUUUUCCGCUCCGUGGGAGUCUUUGCCACUAGAGGCUCAACCCUACACGUGGGGUAAAGUCUUUCUCUGAUAAAGGAGAAGUUACGUAUAAACAACGCAGACAGACGAGAGGUAGUGACAACUGUGACAAGAAAUGGUAAUUUUUGUUCGUUUGUUUAAUAAAAGUCAAAUUAUAUUAUAUACAUUAUCAACAGAAUACAUGUCCUUUAAUGACACACAGUUUUCACAUGUAAUUACUGACUGUGGGUUUGAUUUUUUUUUUUUCUUGUGACUUUGAAUUCUUGAUACUCUGUCUUUUCUUAUUUCUGAAUUUGGACUUGUAGUAGAUAUCACUUUACAUACUCUAUGUUUAACGUAGGAGAAUUAUAGCCGUGAGUUGCCUGUAAAAUGAAAUUUUACUCACAAAAGAAAUUAUGAGGCACAUGCAAUGGAAGGUAAGACAGAUGAGUGACUUAUCUGAAUGGGAGAAAAGGGCUGCUGCUCUGAAGGGAAAAAUGGGUUGGACUGUACUGGCAUGAUGUAAUGUUUCCCUCUAUAUGAGUUUUGUCAUAAUUUAAUGCAAAAACAGAACUUAUGUAACACUAUGCCCCUCUUAUGUACGUUACAGCAGCUAAAGUGAGGUUCCUGUGUGUCCUCCCAAAGAAGGUGGGGUUACUGGAGUUAGGAUGGGGGCCUGAUUGCAAUAAUUAAAGAAUCAUAAGCAUUCCCUUUAAAGAUAAUAGAGACAGUUUGCUCUUUAGAAAUCCAUACAGGAUAUUUCUUCUUAUGUCACAGCCAUCUGGAGACUUACAAAAAGAUUGGAAAACAAGCAUGGCAAUCUACAGGCCAUAGGAGGAAUUUAUUUCUACAGUGAUUUUGGAAUAAAUAAGUUUUAUACAAUUAUGUAUACUGGAAGAAACUGGACAGCGUUAACAACUGCUUUUGACAAUCCAGAGGGGAAGGGGGAGAGGAGGAGGAGCUGAGAGACUUACAUCCUAAAACUCUUCAUAAAGCAUCAAGACUUUCCUCUGUCUGUUCCAUGAGUAACACCAACACGCAGUUCUCCUCUCUUAGUACAAGGUUAAUAAAAAUAAAGGAUGAAUCAGUGUUUUUA